rnacentral:rRNA from 1 species
UAGGGAAUCUUCCGCAAUGGGCGAAAGCCUGACGGAGCAACGCCGCGUGUGUGAUGAAGGUCUUCGGAUCGUAAAACUCUGUUAUUAGGGAAGAACAAAUGUGUAAGUAACUAUGCACGUCUUGACGGUACCUAAUCAGAAAGCCACGGCUAACUACGUGCCAGCAGCCGCGGUAAUACGUAGGUGGCAAGCGUUAUCCGGAAUUAUUGGGCGUAAAGCGCGCGUAGGCGGUUUUUUAAGUCUGAUGUGAAAGCCCACGGCUCAACCGUGGAGGGUCAUUGGAAACUGGAAAACUUGAGUGCAGAAGAGGAAAGUGGAAUUCCAUGUGUAGCGGUGAAAUGCGCAGAGAUAUGGAGGAACACCAGUGGCGAAGGCGACUUUCUGGUCUGUAACUGACGCUGAUGUGCGAAAGCGGGGGGAUCAAACAGG